CCGGUAUGCAUGUGGCAUUUCCAUUGUAGAAUGUGUACAGUGUGGUGGUACCUGCCUCUGUGUGUAUUAUUCAUGAAUGAAUAACAAAUAAAAACCAGAGCAAAGAGGUGGGACACACACACACACACACACACACACACACACACACACAAAAAUCACCAGUAGAUAUUAAGAGAUUAUGGUACGCACUAAAUUCUAAACCUAUGGGAACGCUCAAAACGUUUUGUCCAAUCGGAAAGCCAGAAUGUCCUGAGUCAACAACCAAUAGGAUGGUCGAUAUGAUGUGUGCUAAAUGCGCCAUUUUAGCGCGUCUCCAGCCAUCCGGUAUGAUGGCGACUUUGCUUUGUCUCCGGUGAACAGGGUUGCUUCAAUACUUUCUCUAUAUAUAUGUUUUUUUUCUUUCCUAAAAUACAAACUACUGGGAAUUAACAUUGUUUUUUAUUUUUAUCUCCGGGACGACGUGCCAAGAACUACACGUGUCUUCAGUCGUUGAAGAAAUGCCGACAGAGUACAGAAGGUAAAAUGAGUAAGGCCUCAGCUGAAUCUACAGACCAGGUGAUGGAGGAGGAAGUAGGUCAACUUCCAAUUACAGACCAGAAGGAGGAGGAGGAAGUAGAUCAACUUCCGAUUACAGACCAGAUGGAGGAGGAUGCUGGGAGCUCAACAGAGACUGAGACACCCUCUUCUUCUCACACCAAGAGGAAGCCUGCUGUCGCAGCCAAGCAAGUUGGAGGUAAUGAGUCGGACACCUCGGACGAGAGUGGACAGGAAGAUGGCGCCUCAGAUGGUAAGGUCUGGGGCCACUAGACCUGGGGCCAGCAUGCGUUUUAGUGCUUCUUAAUAUCAUUGUGGAGCCAAAAGGUGCAUUUCCACACUUUGUGGAUAAUGUUU
rnacentral:lncRNA from 1 species